rnacentral:rRNA from 1 species
UUCUCUAAGAAGGGUUUUAGAGUAUAGCCUGCUCAGUGGUUUAAAUAGCUGCAGGAGACUGUACUAAGGUAGCGAGAUCAAUAGUUCUUUAAUUGGGGGCGAGAAUGAAGGGUAUGAUGAGGGGAAUUUUUCUUAAUUUUACUGUUUGAAUUUAAGGGGUGGGUUAAAACUCUCACUAUAUUUUUMGGGACGAGAAGACCCUAUAAGCUUUGGAUAACCUCUUUAAGGGCUAUUAAGGGGUUAUUUUUGGUUGGGGUAAUUGAAUAAGAUAAUAUUUUAUUUUUGGAUCCAUUAUUAUUGAUUACAGGAAAAAGUUACUUUAGGGAUAACAGCGUAAUAAGAGGAAUGGAGUUCUUAUUUUUUCCUUUGUUUGCGACCUCGAUGUUGGAUUAAUAUGUCUUUUAGGAGCAAGAUUUUAAGAAGAUAGACUGUUCGUCUAUUGAACUAUUACA